UUGGAGGUGCUGGAGAUCCAGUCCAGGGCUUUGCAUGUGCUGGGCAGGUGCUCUCCUGUUGAGCUGCUACCCUAGCUCAACUGGACUAUGAGCCUGACAAAAUGGCAACUCUGGAAAUCACGUUCUAUGUUUUUCUAACUGUUUCCAGAUAAGUAAAAGCGGAGGGAGUUUGGUCCUAGUAGGUUUACCCUAUAGACACGGCUUAAGGGUGUCCUUUGAGGUGAAAUGAAGGUACACUGGACAGUAACUUAAAGAUGUGUGAAGAAUAAAGACCUCAGUAUAGGUGAAUUCAAGGGCAAUUAUAACAACUAAGAUGACCAUGACAGAGAGGUAGGGCUCUACUCUUUGUUUUUUGUGUGAUUAAGAAGUUGAUAUUAAAGAGAGGACUAUUAGUCUCAAAAGGAUUACCAAUAAAUUUAAGUUUAAAUGUAAUGGACAAAUUUCUAUUAGUCUCAAAGCUAGUAUUGGUAUAAUUUUUUUUACCUCCACAUUUAAUUUUUAAAGGUAAUGCAUUUAAAAGAAUUGUUAGUUUAUGUUUUUGGACUCUUAAUGCGUAGAGAUGCAAUUUGGGGAUAACCAGAAGAAGGGGGUUAUGGACCCACAAUGGAGCAGAGCUUUUUUGUAGGAUAUUGAAGUUAAGAUGGUAAAAAAUUCAUAUUAGAGUGUUAGAACUGUAGGAUAUUAAAUGUAGUUCCCAUGGUAACCACAGGAAAGUAGCUGUAAAAUGUAUACAAAAGAAAUCAACUUAAGAAGACAUUAAUGCAGGAAAUGAGGGGCAAUAAACUACAAAGCAUAUAACCAUAAGUAAGAAAAUGACAGAAG
rnacentral:lncRNA from 1 species